GACGUAGGGGGCCAGCGUUGUUCGGAAUUACUGGGUGUAAAGGGUUCGUAGGCGGUGCGGCAAGUUGGGAGUGAAAUCUCUGGGCUUAACCCAGAGGCUGCUUCCAAAACUGCUGUGCUUGAGUGUGGGAGAGGCGCGUGGAAUUGCAGGUGUAGCGGUGAAAUGCGUAGAUAUCUGCAGGAACACCCGUGGCGAAAGCGGCGCGCUGGACCACUACUGACGCUGAGGAACGAAAGCGUGGGGAGCAAACAGG
rnacentral:rRNA from 1 species